rnacentral:misc_RNA from 1 species
GUACAAUGAAAUUGCUAAGUAUGGUUUUGCUGCAAUGGAAAGAGAUGAACAUAAUGUAUUGGAAACCUUAAGCCAGGAUGAGCCAACAACAACCUCAGACAACUCAGGUUCAACAGAAAAGCCUGCUGGUCUAGGAGGGGUUAUGAUUGGAAUUGGGGAGCAGGUGUAUUCUAUAUUGCUUUUGAGCUUCUUCUUUCUAGAGGUUUAUGCUACAGGAUUCAUACCAUAUAUAGGGAAGGCACUCAAUUUUGUACUUCUUUCCUGGAUGUAUGCUUAUUACUGUUUUGAGUACAAGUGGAAUUUGUCUGAAGUGGCACUGGACAGACGGCUGGACUUCUUUGAAUCUAACUGGGCUUUUUUUGCUGGUUUUGGUAAAAAUAGUUUCUUGCUGGUGCUGGAGUCUAUUCUUCAUAUUACUUGUGUUUAUCCUUGAAAUUUUAUGUUAACAUUGCUGUGUGCAAUCUCAUUUGUUUUAAAGUUUCCAUGCACUCAACUAAUUUACUCCUUUUCAACUGAAUCAUGCUCAAUAACACUGCAAAGUGAAGGACCUGAAAUCACGAAUAUUGUGUAUGUCUUGUGUUAAUAUAUCUUGGUAUGCUUGAAACAAUUAUUAUUUUAUUUCACAUAUGGCAUGAAAAAUUGCUUGAGACAUUGUACAUGCUCUUAAUAUUCUAAAUUGCGUACAUUUAGGGUUUUGGUUAAGAUGGCCAACCUUACUUUCUUCAUUGGCUUUGCAGGAAGCCCUUGUGUUCUGGCUAUUUUCUUCUUUUCUCCUCUUGUGAGCUACGGUGUCAUGGCUGUUCUUUUCCCACUGUUUGUUUUGACUGCAACGAGCUCAGGAGCUGACCAACCUAUCUUCCCUCAAAGAAGAAAAUGGAAAUAUUUAGGAUUGGGAAGGCUUCCAGUAUUUUAUGCAGCAGAUACAUUGUCGAUGCGAAUCUUGUCUCUCGUCCCCUUAGAAUCUCGAGAACAAUUGCAAGACAAUAAGGCACUUUAUGUUCUGACUUGAUUCUUACACCAUAUGAUUAAGUGUAAGCUCGUUCGAACUUAAUUCUUACAUGUACUAAAUGCCUGAUUUUUUUUUACUUUUUUAUAACUUGGAUGCUAGAGCAGGUCAACUCUUGAUUUAGUUUUUCUUCGUAUAUGCACAUAUGUUUCAGACAGUUCACCCUAGCAAUUGCUUAACAUUCAGAGAAAUCAAGUGCAAGAUCUCCUGGUAAAGCAUGUCUCCCAUUGGCUCAAAGGAAUCUUGGUGUACCUUGUGUAGAUAGAAAUCAGGUGUCAUUUGAGUAUCUAUAUAGCAUUUUUCAUUUAAUUCUUGAAGUUUGUACAGCCACUGGACUAUGAAAACUAAAAUAUACAAAUAUUUAUGAUCAAAUUUGGGAAAUUUUCAUUGAACAAAAUGUCUCCAAAAUUGUGACAAUAAACAGUAAAAUUGCAAGG